UACGUAGGGUGCAAGCGUUGUCCGGAAUUAUUGGGCGUAAAGAGCUCGUAGGCGGUCUGUCGCGUCGGCUGUGAAAACCCGGGGCUCAACCCCGGGCCUGCAGUCGAUACGGGCAGACUAGAGUGCGGUAGGGGAGACUGGAAUUCCUGGUGUAGCGGUGAAAUGCGCAGAUAUCAGGAGGAACACCGGUGGCGAAGGCGGGGUCUCCUGGGACCAGCACUGACACUGAGGCACGAAAGCGUGGGGGAGCAAACAGG
rnacentral:rRNA from 1 species